GCCAAACGUAAACAAACCAAUCCUGACACUCGUGCUGGACGCCGCCCACGGGACCCCGCCACUCAGCGCCCUUUCCCUCCCACUGGUGACGUGCCCUUCUAGCUACUGGACCAUCACUGCCCCUGAAGUCAUCAGUGGAUGGCAGACAUGAGUGAAGCAGUCCUCUGGCCGCCACAGCAGGUUGGAGACCUGUAACACUGACACUGCUCCAGCGGAACCAGACUUGAACGGUGCCAGGGAGACCAACGCUGUGUGAGUGUCUCAGUGGCUUACUGUGCUGCGCCAAGGUGUUGACAAGUAACGUGGAGGUUGAGCCGCUGGACCCACCACCCAUCGGCAAGUGUUCCAGGAGGCAAGAAGGAGUGACUCUACACCAUGGAACUUUGACAGACCUCCUCCUCCUGCCUUCAAGUCUGGCCAAGAUGUGUGAAGAAGAGGAAGAAGAGGAAGGCUCAGGAGGAAGGAAAGUCCUUCACUGCAUUGAGACUCAAGGGAAGGAGCCGAGAUGAGACCAGACUCAGCCCUCCAGUGAGCCCAGGUGACCACCAGGGGGACACCCACGCACCUCAUGGCUUAGGGGAAAAUGCAUGAAGGUGGUGGGUGAGUGAAGCAACGCACCCCCUGUGUAUGCUCAGGUCCCAGGCUACGUCAGGUCAGGGGCUGCCUCAAGAACAGGUCAUUUCUCUCCACACUUUCCUCCAUUUUUCUCCUGUUUUCUCUACCUCUUCCUCCUUUCCUCCUAUGCCCAAAAAUUGCUUAAUCUUUCCUCUUCCUCCCCCUGUCUUCCGCUUCUUCCUCCUCCUCCCCCUGUC